rnacentral:lncRNA from 1 species
CUAGAGUGCAGUGGCAUGAUAACAGCUCACUGCAACCUCGAACUCCUGGGCUCAAGCAAUCCUCCCACCUCAGCCUCCCAAGUAGCUGGGACUAUAGGCGUGUGCCACCAUGCCGUCUAAUUUAAUUAUUAUUAUUUUUGUAGACACGAGGUCCUGACAUAUUGUCCAGGCUGACCUCCAACUCCUGACCUCAAGUGAUCCUCCUGCUUCAGUUUCUGAAAGUGCUGGGAUUACCCGGACACAGAUUCAUCUUCUACUCUUCUGCUUUGCUCUGUGCCCUGGGAGGUAGACUCCUUUGGACUGGAUCCCUUGUCAAAUAGGUUCUGGGUGCUUCCAGCCAAUGGGAGGUACUGUGAAGUGAGUGUAGGGAGGGAGGAGAGAGAGGUUGUGGUAUUUCUCUGCCCCAUCAUUGCUUCCGUUCAUCUCGAGCAGUAGCUGCAUUCCUCCACAAUUCCUGCCAGGUAUUCUGUUCAUCUGGGGUUGCAGCUCUAACUUGGCUCGAAUAAAAGCAAUUCUUCCUUUAAUUCCUUCCACCCUGGAGGUGUAAUGGCUUCCUGCUGCUCCUAAUCUCUAAGCACUGCAUCCUCUCUAGAUUUAUACUUGUAACCCUAUCUACAUAUCAUUAAGUAGACCCUUCGUUAAAAUCUCUUCAUUUGUACCAUCUGCAAUGAGUUCUCUUUCCUGCCAGGACUCUGACUGAUUAAAAAAAAAAAAAAAAAAACUCAAUAAAGACUUGUUGAAAGGCUGCUGAAUGAAUGAAAAGUCUUGGCAUCCUUUGGAAAUUUGACUGAUUGACUUUGGCACUGGAACAGCCAUGGAAGAGACACUAAAGGAGGAAAGGCUAGAAGUCAGCACCAAGAAGAUAACUCUGAGUCUCACUCUGUACCCAGGCUGGAGUGCACUGGAGCAAUCAUAGCUCACUGCAGCCUCGACUUCCCAGGUUCAAGCAAUCUUCCUGCCUCAGCCUCCCAAGAAGCUGGGAGUACAGAUACAUGCCACCGCGCCCAGCUAAUUUUUUUUUUAUUUUUAUUUUUUGUAGAGAUGGGGGUCUCACUCUAUUACCCAGGCUGGUCUCGAACUCCUGGGCUCAAACAAUCUAUCCAUCUUGACCUCCCAAAACUCUGGGAUUAUAAGAAUGAGCCACCAUGCCCAGGGGUUGAAUACUUUUCUGCUGGUAAAAUAUGGUGCUUGAAACAGAGCAGAAUGCCGGUAUGAUUGUGCUUGUAUGUGAGGUGGCAGAGUAAGGAAAGCAUUUAAAUCAUUGUUGAAUUCUAACUUUCUACUGAUUAACUUGCCUAGCUUUUCUGAGCUUACUCAUCUAGAAAAUUGACAGAAACUCCAUGGAGAAGUUAUAAAUACAUAUAAAGAUAUGACUUAUGUAAAGUGCUUACCACGGUGCACGACAUAGUAUUUGCUCAAUAAAUGUUCAUUUCUCUCCUGUUUUUCUCUCCUGUUUCAUUUUCUUUGUCUCUCUUCUUUCUUAUUGAAGUUCCACA